UACAGAGGUCUCAAGCGUUGUUCGGAUUCAUUGGGCGUAAAGGGUGCGUAGGCGGCGCGGUAAGUCGGGUGUGAAAUCUCGGAGCUUAACUCCGAAACUGCAUUCGAUACUGCCGUGCUUGAGGACUGGAGAGGAGACUGGAAUUUACGGUGUAGCGGUGAAAUGCGUAGAUAUCGUAAGGAAGACCAGUGGCGAAGGCGGGUUGCUGGGCUGACACUGACGCUGAUGCGCGAAAGCCAGGGGAGCGAACGGG
rnacentral:rRNA from 1 species